AGAGAAUAACAAGUAAAAAGCAAUGCAUGUAAAUACAGAGCAAGCAAGUAGGAAAGCUAGGCAUAGCACAGCAAAAGAGAGCAAAGCAAAAGAAGGCAAAGAAUGACAAAAAGCAACCUUGCAGGAAUGGAGGAAUCUGUCCAGAGCUGUGCCCCUGCUUGCCACAGGAGCUGCGCGGGAGGAGAAGAACGUGGGCCAAAAGGAAUGGAGGAAUCUGUCCAGAGCUGUGCCCCUGCUUGCCACAGGAGCUGCGCGGGAGGAGAAGAACGUGGGCCAAAAGGUAAGAGGAGCUCCUUUGGGUUCUGGGCUUGAAGCAAAGCUGAGAAGCCAUGCCCGGAG
ensembl:lncRNA